rnacentral:lncRNA from 13 species
CAAAGCAGCAUGAAAUCCCUGGGAACUUCUUGUGCCCUUUCAACAAAUCAGCUCGAUGAAGGGAGAUGACUCAGUCUCCUCUGCCCCUGAAAGCCAGAGCCAACUCUGGCUACCAGCACUCUUGGCUUCACAAAAGAACAAUUUACCCUGGUUCCCUCCCAGACUCCAGUCAGUCUCCCUGAAACUUCAAGUGGCAUCAAAGAGGCAUUUCAUUUACAUGACCUUCCUCAGGAGCUGGGUGAGAAGCCGCAACACAUAACAGGCAUCCGAGUCUACCGGAGUUGCAUGUUUGACUUGCUAGGCUGAAAGCAUCUUGAAGGUAAAAAGAGUAUCUUACACAGCUCUGUACUCUCAGUGUCUAGCCCAGAGCAAGAGACAAAAUAGAAGCUAAUAUAUCUGCUGAAUUAAUAACGAAUGAAGGAGCAGCAACGACAAAGGGAAGAAAUGUAAGGGAGAGAUUAGCAGGUAAUGGCAAGAAGGGAUUGAAACGCAGACCUCUGUCUUUACCUUGAGAAUACAAAGCACAAUCUUAUACAACAAUUACAUUGCUUUGGAUUCCAGUGCCCUCCUAUGCGGAACAUCUGGUUAGGUAUUUGUUGUUCUAGGAGAUUCAAGGUAAGGAAUGAAUUAGGUAGAAUAGAUUGUUCAGUUAGGAGUAUAAUGACUAGAAGUGAGAGGUAGCAUCAUGGAUGGGCAUUGUCCCAGCCAUAAAGUGAAUAGAGCACUAUGGUGGAUUCUCCCACUCUACCUGCUAGAACUUAUUCCUCACUCUCCCUUAAUGUUUUCCUUCUCAUCUGGUUGAAUCUACAUUUUACUGACUCUAUAAAAAUAUCUUAUUAAUUUCUACUUUACCACCUUUUCUCAGUUUCCCCUUUUCUGUUGUUUCUUCUCCCCCUUCUCACAUAUAAAAAUAUGGUCCUUUAAAGAUCAAUUAUAUUUUUCUGCCUUCAGACUCUUUUAAGACGUGCAAAUAAAUCUAAGCCUGUCAUCUUUGGAACA